rnacentral:rRNA from 1 species
AUUGAACGCUAGCGGCAUGCCUUACACAUGCAAGUCGAACGGAGUGGCGAACGGGUGAGUAAUGUAUCGGAACUUGCCCAGUAGUCGGGGAUAACUACGCGAAAGCGUAGCUAAUAACGCAUACUAUUGCAUCAGUCGAUAUCGGAUUAGCUCGUUGGUGGGGUAACGGCUCACAAAGGCGACGAUCCGUAGCUGGUUUUAGAGGACGACCAGCCAGACUGGGACUGAGACACGGCCCAGACUCCUACGGGAGGCAGCAGUGGGGAAUUUUGGACAAUGGGGGAAACCCUGAUCCAGCCAUCCCGCGUGUGCGAUGAAGGCCUUCGGGUGGUAAAGCACUGUUGGCAGGAAAGCGGUACCUGCAGAAGAAGCACCGGCUAACUACGUGCCAGCCGCCGCGGUAAUAC